GGGUUAGUAACGCGUGGGAAUAUACCCUUCACUAUGGAAUAGCCUCGGGAAACUGAGAGUAAUACCAUAUACGCCCUUCGGGGGAAAGAUUUAUCGGUGAAGGAUUAGCCCGCGUAAGAUUAGAUAGUUGGUGGGGUAAUGGCCUACCAAGUCUACGAUCUUUAGCUGGUUUUAGAGGAUGAUCAGCAACACUGGGACUGAGACACGGCCCAGACUCCUACGGGAGGCAGCAGUGGGGAAUCUUAGACAAUGGGCGAAAGCCUGAUCUAGCCAUGCCGCGUGAGUGAUGAAGGUCUUAGGAUCGUAAAGCUCUUUCGCUAGGGAUGAUAAUGACAGUACCUAGUAAAGAAGCCCCGGCUAACUCCGUGCCAGCAGCCGCGGUAAUACGGAGGGGGCUAGCGUUGUACGGAAUUACUGGGCGUAAAGCGUACGUAGGCGGAUCAGAAAGUAUGGGGUGAAAUCCCAGGGCUUAACCCU
rnacentral:rRNA from 1 species